rnacentral:tRNA from 1 species
GAAGGUAUAGUUCAGUGGCAGAGCACAUGCUUAGCAUGCGUGAGGUACUGGAUUCAAUCCCCAUUAUCUCCA